GCAAGGAAUCUUGGGCAAUGGGCGAAAGCCUGACCCAGCAACGCCGCGUGGGGGAUGAAUGCCUUCGGGUUGUAAACCCCUUUUCUCAGGGAAGAAUAAUGACGGUACCUGAGGAAUAAGCCUCGGCUAACUACGUGCCAGCAGCCGCGGUAAUACGUAGGAGGCGAGCGUUAUCCGGAUUUAUUGGGCGUAAAGAGGGCGUAGGCGGCUUUUCAAGUCGGAUGUGAAAUUUCCCGGCUCAACCGGGAAGGGUCAUUCGAAACUGAUGGGCUAGAGGACGGCAGGAGGAGAUGGAAUUCCCGGUGUAGUGGUGAUAUGCGUAGAUAUCGGGAGGAACACCAGAGGCGAAGGCGAUCUCCUAGGCUGUAUCUGACGCUGAGGCCCGAAAGCGUGGGGAGCGAACAGGAUUAGAUACCCUGGUAGUCC
rnacentral:rRNA from 1 species